UAAUAGAUUAUAAAUCCAUGACUUCAGACUGGCGCGAACACGCUGGUAUUUUCAAAGAGAUCCAUCAAGUCCAAAGUCUGCAAAACCAACAAGGUGGUCACUUGUUAGGAACAAAAUUGUGUGGAAGCAUGACGAAGAUGAAGAAAAUUGGACAAAAAAGUGUCAAGUUUUUAAAGGAAAGAAUAAAGAAAUUAACAAGGCUAUGUGAUCUUCUUAGCUUGGACGAAACUGAUGUUGUAAUGGUCAUGUAAGCAAGCAAAGGAGUAAUUAAAUGCCCAUGAAACAUAAAUCUAUCAAGGCUGCUGAACAAGAACUCAAUGUGAUGAAACCAAGCAAGGUGAGACUUUUAGUAGUACAUUUGGACGAAAAAAAACAGGUUUGAGUAAAUCACUCUUGGCACGACAUGCCAGGAUAAUCUUCAGCCCAGUUUUGUACUCCGAAUUACAUCAAUGGUAUUUUCAUCUAGGGUUAUUUCUACACGCUGUAUAAGCACGGUAAACACAAUGUAAGAGAAGUUCUUGGAGGUGCACAAGGGCUAGAAACGGUGAAAGCAAGAUUCUUUUGUAGGGUUUUUCUUUCUCUCUUUAUUUCUUGCAUUUCAUAAUUUCUUCAAAAGAUUUUGUGCUUGCUGCCUUAAAUAUGUGUAGCUAAGCUUUAUUUCUAGGGGUUUGACGGAAUCUUUUAUUGUUUGAAUUAUUCAUGUUGUCUUUCUUUAAUGAAAUCAAGUUUAUUCUGUUUA